rnacentral:sRNA from 1 species
AGAAUUCCCUCUCAGUACAGAGAGGCCUUCAUUCUUUCUGUGCAUGUAGGAUCAUCCCUUGCGAGGUGUCUGUCGCUUACUUAAUCCACUGUCUUGUUGAUGUGUGUCAAGGUCUUCAGUAUUUAUUAGGUCAGUGCUGCAGUGAAGCAGCUUUUGUAGACUUCGCGUUGCGCAUGCGCAACAUCAACUUGAGGGAUCUCUGCAUUGAGGGGCAAGCACGCUGGUGACUUCUGGACAUUGCCCAGCAGCCCACCAUAGUAGUGGGGGAUAUGCAGCCUCCCCAGCACUGAGGAGGAAGACCUGUUUCUCCACAUCCUUGGCCACCCAGCCAGGUAGCUGCCAUGUGGAUUUUGCCAAACAAGAUAGGGAUGAGGUGGAUCCAAGAGCAGAAAUGACAAAGCAGUGUGUCCCCUGGAGCCUGGACCUGGGAUAGUCGGUCUCCUUUCUGUCUCUUCUAUCUGCAUAUGUUGCUUUGGGCUCUUCCCUCAGCCCCAGCUUCCACACUCCCCCCUCCCCUAGUGCUAUGGUCUGAAUGUUUUUGUGUUCCCCUCCCCACAGCUUUGACAUGUUGAAAUGCUAGCCCCCAAGCUGCUGGCAUUAAGAGGUGGGGCACUGGGGAGAUGAUCAGGUUAUAAGGGCAAAUCCGUCAUAAAUGGAUUAGUGCCCUUAUAAAAGAGGCCUCAGAGAGCAGCCUUGCCCCUUCCACCAUGUGAGAACACAAUGAAAUGAUGACCAUCUAUGGAGCAAGGAACUGGUCCCUCACUAGAACCCAACUAUGCUGGUAUCAGCUGGGGACUUCCUAGCCUCCAGAACUGUAAGACAUACAUUUAUGUUGUUUAUGAGUCCCCAAUCUGCGGUAUUUUGUUAGAGCAGCCCAAAUGGAUUAAGACAGAAAACUGGCACCGAACAUUUUGGGUGCUACUCUAACAAAUACAACGUGGAAGAAGCUUGGGAACUGGGUAAUGGGUAGAGGCUAGAAGAGUUCUGAAGUGCAGGCUAGAAAAAGCCUGUGUUGCCAUGAACAGACAAUUUUUUCUUUUUUUUUUUUUGAGAUGGAGUCCUGCUCUGUCACCCAGGCAGGAGUGCAGUGGCGCGAUCUCUGCUCACUGCAACCUCAGCCUCCUGAGUAGCGGAGAUUACAGACGUGCACCACCACACCUGGCUAAUUUUUGUAUUUUUAGUAGAGACAGGGUUUUGCCAUUUUGGCUAGCUAGGCUGGUCUGGAACUCCUGACGUCAGGUGAUCUGCCAGCCUCAGCCUCCCAGAGUGCUGGGAUUACAAGUGUGAGCCACCAUGCCCAGCCCGUGAACAGACUAUUACGGGUGAUUUCUAGUGAGGCUCCAAAAGAAAAGAGGAGAUUUGAAAUCCUCAACCAGAAUGUUGGUAAAAAUGUGAACAGUAAAGCUAUUCUGAUGAGAUCCCAGAUGGAAAUGAGAAACGUGUGGUUGGCAAUGGAGGAAAGGCCAUCCUUAUACUGGCCAAUCCCUUGGCUGAACUGUGCUUAUGUAUUAGUGUUUUGUGGAAGGUAGAACUUAUGAGCCACUGCAAUUGGAUAUUUGGCUGCAGAAAUAUCUAAGCAAGGUUUUGAAGGUGCAGCUUGUGAAAUGUGAAAAGAGAGAAGUGAUUUAAAGAUGGGAUUGUUAAUUAAAAGGGGAGCAGAACUUAAAGAUCGGGAAUAUUUGUCAGCCUAUGUUGAUAAGAGUGGGCCAGCCUGUUUAGGAGAGAAGAUAAAGGUUUUGCCAUUGAAACUGAGGCUAGGAGCUAGUCCAAGAAAAUGGAAAAAUGACCCCAAAGGCAAUUCAGAAAUCAUCAGGGCUCUUCUGCCCAUCACAGGCCCAGAGCGCAAGACCCACAGCAAGCAGGGGACCACAGCAGAGAGCCCCGCUUCAGUCACCCCUGAAGCCCUAGAAGGUGGGGCCAUCAGCGAAGUUCCAGCCCAAGAGAGCCUUGGGCCUCUGAAAGAGACAGAGGUGGGGCCACCACAGAGAACCACCUCGAGGGCAGGCCCUCACCAGGGGCUGCCAUGAGGCGAGACCACCAAAAGCCAGGGGCAGGGCCACCCAGGGCCUUGGGGGCUCAACUCCUGCCCAGUGAAGCUGCCACCUGUGGGUUUGGAAGGCAGGGUCACCUCCCAACACAGUGGGCCUGGGGAGCACAGCAUCAAGACAAAAAGGAUUAUUCUCCAGAUUAUUCUCAAGCUGUAAACCAUAAUGUGCUGUGACUCGUAGGUUUAGGACUUGCUUGGGACCUGUUACUCCUUUUCUUUUUUUCUAUUUCCCAUUUUUGGAAUUGGAAUGUUUAUCCUGUGCCCGCCUCACCACUGUAUAUAUGUGUGUGUGUGUGUCUGUGUGUGUGUGUGUGUGUGUGUGUUUUGUUUUGUUUUUUUUAAGACGGAGUCUCACCCUGUUGCCCAGGGUGGAGUGCAGUGGCAUGAUCUCAGCUCACUGCAGACUCCACCUGCCGGGUUCGAAUGAUUCUCCUGCCUCAGCCUCCCAAGUAGCUGGGAUUACAGGCGCCCGCCACCACGCCCAGCUACUUUUUUUAUUUUUGGUAGAGAUGAGGUUUCACCACGUUGGCCAGGCUGGUCUCAAACUCCCGACCUCAGGUGAUCUGCCUGCCUCGGCCUCCCAAGGUGCUGGGAUUACAGGUGUGAGCCACUGCGCCGGCCUCACCACUAUAUUUGGAAGGCACAUAACUUGUUUCAUUUCACAGGUUCACAGCUGGAGAGAAUUUUGUCUCAGGUAGAAUUGUGCCUUGAGUUUCAACCGUAAUUGAUUUAGAUGAUAUUUAAAUGAGAUGUUGGACUCCGGACUUUUGAGUUGAUGCUGGAAUGAAUUAAGACUUUGGGGGUUAUUGGGAUGGAAUGAAUUUGUUUGGCAUGUGAAAAGGAUAUGAAUUUGGGGGAACCAGGGGCAGAAUGCUAUGGUUUCCGUGUUUAUAUCUCCCCAAAAUUUGUGUUGAAAUUGUAGUCCCCAAGAUGAUGGUAUUAGGAAGUGGAGCCUUUUGGGGAGAUGAUCUGGUAACAAGGGCAAAGCCCUCAUGAGUGGGAUUAGUCCCUCCUAAAAGAGGCCCCAGAGAACUCCCUUGCCCUCUCCAUCAUGUGAGGACAUAGAAGAUGCCUGUCUUUUAACCAAGAAGUGGGCCCUUACCAGACACCCAGCCUGUUGGCACCUUGAUCUUGGACGUCCAGCCUCCAGAACUGUGAGGAACAGAUUUCUGUUGCGUAGAAACUGCCCGUCCUACAGCGUUGUGUUGUCACAGCCUCAAUGGACUAAGACAGACACCUAGCUUGUCCUGGACUGAGGCAUCCCUGUUCUCCUGUGCUUUCAGAAUCGGGUUUCUCCAUUCAAGGACAUGAUUUUAUGCUUCUCUGAAGAGGAUUGGUCCCUUCUAGAUCCUGCCCAGACUGGCUUCUACGGAGAGUUCAUCAUUGGGGAGGAUUACGGGGUCUCAAUGCCUCCAAGUAAGACUUAACUUUCUCCCGUACCUCAAGGCCAGGGAACUGGGCAGGGGAGUUCUCUCUUGAAGUAAGAGUCAACUUCGUCCCAUAAGAUCAGGGAAGCGGGGCCUGCAUCAGAUCUCUUUGUUCACCCCCAACCUGGACAGGAGGUCAUUUGCACACAGCGGCCCUACAGGCAGUGUGUCUGAUUGACCAUCACCUGCUGUCUCACCACAUCAGGCUUAUCAGAACCAAAUAGAACAUGUGCUGUAUGUCCAUUUCUCUUCCAUCGUUCUUACCCUUUUGUCCCUUUAUGUCUGCUUUACACCCGAAAGCCUCAGAGAGACCCCCAAGCCCAUAGCUCUCCCUGCGUGUGCUGCCCCCACUGCCCCUGCACUGCCAGCUGUGGCCUUUUCACUUCUUGCCCUGAUGGUGCCAUGCCCGCUGGGCAUCCCUCCACCUUCUCUCUUCUGGACCAGCCCUGGUUGCUGCAGGAUCAGAAUACUAAUAAACAUGUACCCUGCCUUUUUCUUUGAACAGACGACCUAGCUGCCCAGCCAGAUCUGUCCCAGGGAGAGGAGAAUGAGCCACGCGUUCCAGAGUUGCAGGAUCUCCAGGGCAAAGAAGUGCCCCAGGUCUCCUACUUGGGUGAGUAAUGAUUCCAGAACUGAGUGGGCAGAGUAGGGGGAAGGGUUGCUGGCAGCCAGAGGUGAGCCCACUCGCUGGCUUCUCUCUGCGGCCCGUAAUUGCCUUCUUCAUGUCCCCAGACUCUAUGUGGGUCUUGCGUGUCUUGUCUUGUCCCUGACUUUUCAUAGAAAGAAUGGGGGAUCUUAAUUUUGCCAGGCAUUGGGAUUGUACUCCCUUGGCCAAGGACUGGGAAAUAAUAGGAAUGUCUUUCUCCUCUGCCUGUAAGUAACAUCUGGUUUGUGCUGACAAUGCAGCGGCCCCUCCAGGAGUGAGGUCAGAUACUCAUAAGAAGCCUAGUUGCAGAGGGAGUGUCUCCUCCUAACUGGGCACCGAGCACAGCCCUUUAAGGUGUCUCACCUGUCUAGUCUUCCCAUCUGCCUGGUACAGGGGUGCUGUGAGGACACUGGGGUGUGGGGAGGUGCUGAGGCUCAGCAGCAGCAGUUUCCAGCCCUCCUUCAGGCUGUGUCACCAGCACUUGCACCCAUGAUCUCCAUGCCAUGGUGCUUCGAAGCAUCUGCUCCUUCAGGAGGAAAUAGCUUUGUACAGAAUCAUCAGCAGCUCCACACCUCCUUCCCCUUUGGGACCUAGAGCUGGCAUGAAGCAGACAAGGUUUUGACGCACCAUCCCCACCUGGAACAAGCGUUCAGAGACUUGGCAUGGCGCAGUAGCUCCUGUCCCGUCUCUACCCUGUAGGCUCUGCACAAGCUGUUUGUGCAGGAUGUGUGGAGUGUGCAGGAGCCUGUGGUGAUGACUGUAGAAAACCCACCACAGAAAGUGGGAAUAAAUGCAGGGCUGGGGGAGGUGCUUGUCUCUGGCCAUAGAGUAGGUGGAGUAGAACCCGGAUCUGCGUCGAUUCUGUCUGGCUUCAGAGCUCAUGUUUGUGGAGUUGGCCCAUUUUGCCUUCAGGUUCAUUGACUCAUCAGACACUUACUGAGUGGCCACCCCCUGCCAGUCCCCAGGAGGGAGCCCAAGGCCGCCCCCACAUCGUAGCCUGGCAUCUAUUCGGAUAGCACCCUCCCAGGUAGUGCUGUAGGUGCAAGACAAAUCAAUUUUUCCAUUUCCUCCUCUGGAAAGACUCUCCAAGUCUCCAGCCAUCCCAGGUAGAAGAAAGAAGGAAACGUGAGGAGCUGCAGGUGCCAGAGUUCCAGGCCUGCACACAGACGGUGGUGCCUCAAAACACCUACCCAGCUGGCGGCAACCCGCGAUCUCUAGAGAACAGCCUGGACGAAGAAGUGACCAUCGAGAUCGUUCUGUCCAGCUCUGGGGAUGAGGACUCCCAGCACGGCCCGUACUGCACAGAAGAGCUGGGGAGCCCCACAGAGAAGCAGCGCAGCCUCCCCGCCUCCCACCGGAGCAGUGCCGAGGCCGGAGGCGAGGUGCAGACCUCCAAGAAGUCCUACGUGUGUCCAAACUGUGGGAAAAUCUUCCGCUGGAGGGUCAACUUCAUCCGGCACCUGCGGAGCCGCAGAGAGCAGGAGAAGCCGCACGAGUGCUCGGUGUGCGGGGAGCUGUUCAGUGACAGCGAGGACCUGGAUGGGCACCUAGAGAGCCAUGAGGCCCAGAAGCCUUACCGGUGUGGUGCCUGCGGGAAGAGCUUCCGCCUCAACUCCCACCUGCUCUCCCACCGGCGGAUACACCUGCAGCCGGACAGACUCCAGCCGGUGGAGAAGAGAGAGCAGGAGGCAUCCGAGGACGCGGACAAGGGUCCCAAAGAGCCGCUGGAAAACGGCAAGGCCAAACUGAGCUUCCAGUGCUGUGACUGUGGGAAGGCCUUCCAGCGGCACGACCACCUGGCUCGGCACCGCAGCCACUUUCACCUGAACGACAAAGCCCGGCCCUUCCAGUGCCGCUACUGCGUCAAGAGCUUCCCGCAGAACUAUGACCUCCUCCGCCACGAGCGCCUGCACAUGAAGCGCCGUUCCAAGCAGGCUCUGAACUCCUACUGAGCCUCCCCGCCUGGGGCGGCCUCACCCUGGCUGGUGCUGCCCCCUCACCUUGGUACUGAUCAGCGCCCCCACCCAGGACGCACCUUCCCCAGGAUAGAGAGCACACCUCCCUCCUGUCCUUGCUCUCAGGUAGUGAGCGUUCGGGUGGUGCCAUGGGAGCACUCUCCCUCCCCCAGGUAAUGAACGAGUGGCCAAGUGAGUGUUCUGUUUCUGCUGUGCCAAAAAACGGGGGAGAUGUGCCACCACCAGGUUGGACAUGCCAGGCGUUCUGUGUCUUAGAGACCCUCGGCCCAUGCUCCCCAAGCUCGGGGAGUAAAACGGCUAUCCCCCGUCAGGGCAGCACCCUGGUCACCAGCCAAACCUCAGUAUACUCCCUCCCCUCCUUCCCUGUCUGAACGCUAGGAUCCGCUCCUGAAGCUCCAGGGUGCCUGCACUUCCACUGAGAAGCUGCUGGUGGGUGUUGGACUGGAGGAAGGAAGAAGGCAGGGUGGGACUGAUGGGCUCAGUGGGGAUCAGGGCCAGGCACACUGAGCCCGACAUGUCAUGUCUGAGCCCCAGAUUCGUGGCCAUCAGGCAGGCAGGAGCGCCCCGCAGAUCCAAGAUGAUCAGGCAGCCCUUUUGGGCUGGUGUCUGUGGCAGGGGUCUGCAGAGCUCCUUCUUGAGGUUUGGAAACAGUCAUCAUACCUGUUGAUUUUCCUGGGGGCCAGUUACUAGGGAUCUGGAGCUCACCAAAAACAAAGCUUACAUUUUAAUUUGUGUUGCACACCCACCCCAUAAUGUCUUUAUACCCCAAAGAUCCUUGGUAAAUGCUUGUGGGUUGGAAGCUGAGUUGUCAUCGUUUAAAAGGCACUUAAGUCCCUUCUUCCAAUCUGUCCUGUCUAGGAAUGUGGAGCUCUGCCCUCAGUGAGGGGUUCUCCUGUCUGGGUGAGCCAAGCUCCAGAACAGAACCUUGCCCAACGUCACACUUUAUAUAUACAUUAGCUUGGAGUGCUGGUGUGUCCGUUUUCUAGGUCUGUUGUUAACAAAGUACUAAACACUGGCUGGCUUAGAACAACAGGAGUGUAUUCCCUGACAGUUCUGGGAGCUGCACGUCCAAGAUCAGGGUGUCCUCCGAGUUGGUGCCUUCCGAGAGCUGUGCGGGAGAAGCGGCUUCGUGCCUUUGCUGGCAGUUGCCAUUCCUUGGUGUGUGGAAGCGUCACCCAGUCUCUGCCUUCAUCUCCACAUGUCUCCAAACCUCCCUUUGUUUAAGGACACAGUCAUAUCGGAUUAGAGCCCAUCCCACCGACUCCAGUAUAACCUCAUCUGUAUCCGCAGCAAUUGUUUACCAAUAAGGUCACAUUCUGAGGUACUAGAGGUUGGGACUUCAACAUUGGAAUUUGAAAGGGAUAGCAUUCAGCCCACAACUCCAGAUAAACGUCAGGUAUGCUAUCAUUCAUAAUUUACAGAUGAGUCAAUACAAACUUGAGUGAGCUUGCUCACAAUUCCAUCAAAGGCAGGGUUCAGACCCAAGUUUCAGCAUUCAGGGCAGGUGUCCUCUGCAUGGAAGAAUCUUACUCAGUAGCCCUAAACGCUGACAUUCCCCUUCCUCCCUGCCUUCUGAUGCGGGCUGGGCAGGCCAGCUGGAGCUGUGUCUCCUGCUGGGAUUCUGGACUGAGAGUGACAGUAGGUAGUGAAACCUCAAGCAAUUUAAAACAUGGUAUUGUUCCUGGAAGACUGGUUAUGUUGGCUAGGGUCAGCAAGAGAGGGCAUUAAGGCUGUAGUCUAGCAGUGACUUAAUCUGCAAGUCAAACCAGACGGGUAUUUUGUAUGAUUCAUAUGUCACAUCCUACCAACAGACAGUAAGCCAGGCAAGGCUCCUGGUGCUCCUUGUCACUCAUGUAAUUUUCACAUCAAGAAAACUCUGGGCUGGGUGCAGUGGCUCACACUUGUAAUCCCAGCACUUUGGGAAACCGAGGUGGGUGGAUCGCCCAGCUCAGUGACACCAGCCUGGGCCACAUGGCAAAACCCCCGUCUCUACCAAAAAUACAAAAAAUUAGCUGGGUGUGGUGUUGACGUUUGCGGUCCCAGCUACUCUGGAGGCUGAGGUGGGAGGAUUGCUUGAGUGUGGGAGGCAGAAGUUGCAGUAAGCCGAGAUCGUGCCACUGCACAAGCUAGGUGACAGAAUGAGACUCUGUCUCAAAAAUAAUUAAAAAGCCUCUGCCCCAAACUCUUUAAAAGAUUUUAUAACCACAACUACUGUUUCUGUGAAGAUGCAUCUGCAUGCCAGGAGCAGUAAAUGCAAUAAAAUCAUUUGGUUAUACUUUGAACACAAAAUAAACAGUUGAGGCUUUUACUUUCUAAAUAGUUUGUCUCUUGUAUCAACAUAUCUGGAAAAGGGAGAAAUCCGAUUUUUAAGGCCAAGGGAGGGGAAAAUUCCAAGUAGAAGCCAGGCUCUCUGUGUGCAUUUACCUCACCUACUUGUGUGCUCCUACCUGUCCUGAGGAUUCUCUCCGUAGCUCUGAGGCCUUGGGAAGGUUAUUCACUUUCCUGCUUCAGACGUCUGACUCAGAGAAGAACAUUGUUCUACUUACCAGAGUGUUUUCUGUGUAAAACCACAUCAUGAAGGAGAAAGCGACAAAGGGAAUGUGAGGGGACUGGAAGCCACAGGGAGGCUGUCCCUCGAGUCCCCACCACCGAUCCAGAGCCAACCAAGGCACCUCAGGAAAUGGAAGGCCACGUUGCCUCUGGCUUUGGAAAUCCUCUUGGGUAGUAUAACUGAAACCCAGGUUGAUGCCAUGCAGCAGGAGCAGCAGGGGGAACCUGCUCUCAGGAGAGGUCUGCCAACCCUCCAGCCCAACACCCUUCACCACAGUGGUGGAGGAGGCUGCACCCAGGAGAUCUUUGUCUCCCUUUUGGCCACUGAUACCUUUGGCCUUAUCUGACAACAGCUACCCCUCAGUCCUUCCCUCCCACCCCAGGGGCUGGGCAGCUGGCUGGAGCUUUGUGUCCACCUUGCUCUGGAGGUUGAGACCCCCAUCUGAGCAACAUCCUCCCUCUUCAUUCUUCUGAUCCUUUGGCAUCGCCACAAACCCACAGGUGCAUAAUAGAAACUCGCUGAGUCAAUAU